rnacentral:rRNA from 1 species
AUGUAUGCUUGCUGCAUGAAAAUUAAAUUGGUGGUGCCAAGCUCUGAUGCAUGUCCGGAUUUGGGUACGCGAACGGCGCUGGACGGCCCGACGGCGCUGGACGUGGUGAAGGUGUCCGCGUCGGAGUACGAGGCGUGCGCCGCUCGGCGCGGCGCCAAGGUGCUCAAGUCCGGGGCCGACCGCGUCACGCUCGCCCUCGGCCCAAGCUACUUCAUCUGCAGCGUCCCCGCCCAGUGCCAGGCCGGCAUCAAGAUCGCCGUCGUCGCCAGGAAGCAGGGCCGCGUCGGCGGAGCGUCCUAA